AGACUCUAAAAUGCAGGGUGAAAAUGACAGCUUUGGUUUGUAAGAGUCCUAAAAAUUUUGACAUGUGAUUUUUCAAGUCAGGGGUUUUAACUCCAAUGUGGAAACUACAAAAAUAUUAAAAUUUGUUUUCAUUGGCAACCCCUUUGAAAUGGCAUCAGCACACCUACAGGUGUACUGGGGACAGUACUUGGCAAUUCAUGGCUUCAGUUGUGGGAGAUAAAUAUUUUGUCUGGGUUCAACCUGAAGUUUAAAGUUUUCCCAGGGCUUUGAUUGACUGGUCACUGCAGGUAACUUUAAUAAAUGCAAAAGGAUGUGAAAGCACAAUUUCUGGAGAAUGUGCACUGGGGAUAGAGAGAAAACCUUGAAAACAGUCAGCAGGCUCUGGAAAACUUAAAAAAUAUUAAAAUUACAAACAUAAUGUAAAAAUAGAUGUAGCUCUGUGACUGUUCAAGCAGGAUUCUAUGUCUGGAGGAAAUGUUUGACUUGCAUCAGCUGUAACACAGACAGACAAGCAGCAACUGGGGCCUUGAACAUUUGUGCUACUGCAAACCCCUUCCAUGAAAAACAUCAUUCCAGGAAGGAGCAACAUCAUCUGACAGAUAGCAAGAGUGGCCAGCAAUAGCUCCAGGAGCUCCUGCCAAGACCCCUACAGGAAGGAGCCCAGCCCCCAAUGCACGUGGGCUUUGGCUUUGGCCCUCUGGCACAGAAACCCCCCAGGGGCACAGGUCUCUGGGGCAGGAGAAGGGCACCAGCACUGCCAGGGCUUGGCUGGGGUGGCAGGUCUGCCUCGGUGGGGACUCUGCCACACCUGCUGAUUUCAGUGCUGCCAGGCCCCUGUACAGAUUCUGUGCAAGGCCCCGUGCCCUUCCUGCUGCGCCUGCGUCGGCAGCCCUGGGGGCUCCUUCUGCUGCCCUGAGCCUGCAGAGCAGGGCAGUGUUUGCUGAUGGUUUGAGGUGUUCCUAAAGAUCCUGUCUUAGACACUUUGGGCAAGGGAUUCCUUCCAACGUAGGCCACGCUGGGGGGAUGGGGCAGAACCAGGAAGGUGGCAGGGCGUGCAAGGGCCGUUAGUGACACGGUGCAGCCUGGUAACCGUGGAAUGGAACGGUGGAAUGGACAAGAGCUGGCGGUGACAAGACCACACCAGUGUGCCUGGUGCAUGCGACGGGACAGGACACGCCAGAGCGGUGCUGUGAGGAGCCCCCACACAGCCCACUCGUUAGUGCCUGACCCGGAGCUUUUCCAAGGCGUAAUUCCUACAGCUCACAUUGUGAGCAGACUGUGGGAAUUGGUGAGCCGGAGCUUCCCGAUAACAUCUCUUUAGAAGGUGCUCCCAAGGCCCGAUUUUGUCAUGGCGGGCAGAUUCUUCAGGCUAUUCAGGGUGUUCCGACGGAAUAGAAGCACAGACCGUGGAGCUGCCCCAGCAGAACACCCUGAAGAGCCGGAGCAGUUCCAGCAAGGGCAGGAUGAUGCAGCCAUGGACAAGAGACAAGAGCAGGAGCCUGCCCAUGGCCGCUUCCGCAAAACGCUGAAGAGGUUCCGCCAGUUCCUGCCAAGUCGGCAUAGAAAGA